rnacentral:rRNA from 1 species
CGCGUAGGCGGUUUGAUAAGUGGGAUGUGAAAGCCCUGGGCUCAACCUAGGAACUGCAUUCCAAACUGUCAGGCUAGAGUAUGGUAGAGGGAGGUAGAAUUUCCUGUGUAGCGGUGAAAUGCGUAGAUAUAGGAAGGAAUACCGGUGGCGAAGGCGGCCUCCUGGACCAAUACUGACGCUGAGGUGCGAAAGCGUGGGGAGCAAACA